GUCUAUGGCCAUACCAUCCUGAAUAUACAUGAUCUCAGAAAUUAAGCAGGGUUGAGCCUGGUUACUUGGAUGAGAAGAAAUCUUUUUAAUAAUGACC
rnacentral:rRNA from 1 species